ACAAUGGCUGUUACAAAGGGAAGCGACAUGGUAACAUGAAGCAAAUCUCAAAAAAACAGUCCCAGUUCGGAUUGUGGGCUGCAACCCGCCCACAUGAAGUCGGAGUUGCUAGUAAUCCCGAAUCAGCAUGUCGGGGUGAAUGCGUUCCCGGGUCUUGUACACACCGCCCGUCACGCCAUGGGAGUUGGGAGUACCCGAAGUCGGUGAGUUAACCGCAAGGAGGCAACCGCCGAAGGUAAAACCAAUGACUGGGGUGAAGUCGUAACAAGGUAGCAGUAUCGGAAGGUGCGGCUGGAUCACCUCCUUUUAAGGAG
rnacentral:rRNA from 1 species